rnacentral:rRNA from 1 species
UGAGCGACCUGCCCUUAACUCUGGGAUAAGCCUGGGAAACUGGGUCUAAUACCGGAUAUGACUCCUCAUCGCAUGGUGGGGGGUGGAAAGCUUUAUUGUGGUUUUGGAUGGACUCGCGGCCUAUCAGCUUGUUGGUGAGGUAAUGGCUCACCAAGGCGACGACGGGUAGCCGGCCUGAGAGGGUGACCGGCCACACUGGGACUGAGACACGGCCCAGACCUCCGUACGGGGAGCAG